AGAACGAACGCUGGCGGCAUGCCUAAUACAUGCAAGUCGAACGAACUCUUCGGAGUUAGUGGCGCACGGGUGCGUAACGCGUGGGAAUCUGCCCCUUGGUUCUGAAUAACAGUUGGAAACGACUGCUAAUACCGGAUGAUGACGAAAGUCCAAAGAUUUAUCGCCAAGGGAUGAGCCCGCGUAGGAUUAGCUAGUUGGUGAGGUAAAGGCUCACCAAGGCAACGAUCCUUAGCUGGUCUUAGAGGAUGAUCAGCCACACUGGGACUGAGACACGGCCCAGACUCCUACGGGAGCAGCGAGUGGGGAAUAUU
rnacentral:rRNA from 1 species